rnacentral:rRNA from 1 species
GACGAACGCUGGCGGCAUGCUUAACACAUGCAAGUCGAACGGAAAGGUCCUGCUUUUGUGGGGUGCUCGAGUGGCGAACGGGUGAGUAACACGUGAGUAACCUGCCCUUGACUUUGGGAUAACUUCAGGAAACUGGGGCUAAUACCGGAUAGGAGCUCCUGCUGCAUGGUGGGGGUUGGAAAGUUUCGGCGGUUGGGGAUGGACUCGCGGCUUAUCAGCUUGUUGGUGGGGUAGUGGCUUACCAAGGCUUUGACGGGUAGCCGGCCUGAGAGGGUGACCGGCCACAUUGGGACUGAGAUACGGCCCAGACUCCUACGGGAGGCAGCAGUGGGGAAUAUUGCACAAUGGGCGGAAGCCUGAUGCAGCAACGCCGCGUGCGGGAUGACGGCCUUCGGGUUGUAAACCGCUUUCGCCUGUGACGAAGCGUGAGUGACGGUAAUGGGUAAAGAAGCACCGGCUAACUACGUG